AAUGGCUGCAGUAAUUUGACUGUACAAAGGUAGCAUAAUCAUUAGUUUUUUAAUUAAAAGCUUGUAUGAAGGGUUGGACGAAAUAAAAUCUGUCUCUUUUUAAUAAAAUUAGAAUUUAAUUUUUAAGUUAAAAAGCUUAAAUUUAUAUAAAAGACGAGAAGACCCUAUAGAGUUUAAUAAUUUUAAUUUAAUAAUUAAUUUAGAUUUAUUAAUUUUAUUUAAUUAAAAUUAUUUUAUUGGGGUAAUAAAAAGAUUUAAAAAAUUCUUUUUAGUUUAAAUCAUUAAUUUAUGAAAAUUUGAUCCAUAUAAUUUUGAAUAUAAGAUUAAAUUACCUUAGGGAUAACAGCGUAAUUUUUUUUUAGAGUUCUUAUCGAUAAAAAAGUUUGCGACCUCGAUGUUGGAUUAAAGAUUAAUUUAGGUGUAGAAGUUUAAAUUUUUGGUCUGUUCGACCAUUGAAUCUUUACAUGAUCUGAGUUCAAACCGGUGUAAGCCAGGUUGGUUUCUAUCUUUAUAAUGUUUUUAUAUUUUAGUACGAAAGGACCAAGUAUAAUGUAUAUAAAUACUUAAUUUAUUGAAUAU
rnacentral:rRNA from 1 species